UUCAGAUAUUUUAAACACAUCUACGUUCUGCGAGUGAAAUUGGCAAUACAUUAAAACCAAGAGCGCUAUCCUGUAUAGGAAAUGCAUUCAGCUUGAUUUUUGGUAAUUCAUUGAUGCUUCCAUUUGUAUCAUAGCCAGCCCUAUCCUGGAUGAAACGAUACUUUAAAAUUUUCAACAUGCUAUUAUAUUGAUCUGUAAUUCACGAUACAUUUUUUUUAUAGAUAUGGUAACUAUGCAGAAGAGGUCACACAUCACCGAUAUUGAUCAGAUUGAAAUAUACUGGCAAACUGCACAUUCCAGGCAACUCUUCUCUUUACACAAAUAACCGUCGCUGAGACUUUGUUUCCGAGAUAUUCGUGAAAAACUACUACUACAUAACGGGUGAACUUGUCAAGAAGGUCUCCUAUUUGUAGAGAAUAGAGGGCUUGCAGGCCAAGCAAUUUUCUUCAAUUGGCGUGAAACGUACGAUCCACGAAAAAUGAUAAAAGAAAGGAUAUCCAAAUUCGGAAAUGUGGUUACGAACGGAACAAAAAUACUACUAGAUAUCUAUAUAUAAUACAAAGGCCCGCACGACUGAUGCUGAUGAACGACCAGCGCUCAACCCCCACCACCGCGCUUCGAUCUACCGACCAUUGGUGAUCCGGAAUGUGCUACUAGUGGUGGAGGGGGAACCUUGCAGAUGGGAUUGGACGGUGCCAAUGGAUUCCAAUGGCAAUUAUUUUGCUCGUAUUGGUCAUAUGUCGCAGAACUCCCGUUACUCCCGGAAAGGGAUGAUUCCUAAGGCGAUUUGAAGUAAUUCUUUCAGUCUAAUUUAAAAAAAAAAGGAGUUAUUCCGUUUUUAGACAUGCUCCAAUAUUUUCGUGACACCUUGUCGUGAUCGUCUCUAUAUGCAGGAUUCAGUACAGUAGAAUCAUUAUGGUAGCAACAAUUUUCCUUCUCUGUUAACAUCUGAGAAAGCAAACUCGAGCGGCAGUGACAUGUACAGUGUAGGAAAAAGUUGCAUAGAAUGUCGAGUUUCACAUGUUAAAAAAUCAUCGAAAUCGGUGAGAUGUAAUUAUUAAUUAAUGAUUAGACGCGCGACGGGUGUCAGGAGGCGUGGCACUCGCGCUCCUCAUAUUGCGUGAGUAUUUCGUAUGCGGAAUUUUAUUCCACUUUAUUCCACAUUUAGCCUGAAUUGGAUUGGUUUGCAAUCAUGCAUGAAACGAACGAAUUAAGCAAAUCGUAGACACCGAUGCACUUCGAUGCUUGAAGAUUCAGUACUAGCACCAAGUACUAAACGCGUAUGUCACUAAUGUCAUAUAAUAUAUAGUAUAUAUAGUAUAAUAUAAUAUAAUAUAAUGCCAAAAGCGAGAAGCAAAUCGGUAAUGAUUAAUAAAUGGAUAAUUGUUAAAUGAAUUGAUACAAAUAGUAGUAGAACGCAGACCAAAAUGUGCAUAUUAGAAUUUGCAUACCGACUGAAUGUACACUUAUUGUUAGGAAUAAUUAUUUUCGAAAUCAUGAUCAAGAUCUCCGUAGAUAAGACGUCAAGUUAAAGAUAACACUGUUCAACGAAUCAAAGGUUUGUUUUGCCUUUUAAUAAUGACCGGGUGUGAUUAUUAAUAUAUAUAUAAUUUAUUAUGUAAUUUAUAUUAAUUAUAUAAAGCAACAGUAACUCAAGUUCUACUUACAAUUUGCAUUUCAGGAGCAACGUCGCCAAUAUUAUUCCUAUGAAAAUCACACCCACACAGGAUGAUAUUAAGACCAAUAGCCACGUGUCGUCAAAAACUGUACCUAAAAUUACACAUAUUAUUUUAUUAAUUAAUUUCUCGAUUCCAAUGACGACAAAUUCUAUGGUCAUACGUCGAGAGAAAUGAGAGAAAUCGAGAAAGAGGACCACCUUGUUGGGGUAUCUCUAUGUAUUGCACUCCUUCGGAUCGACGGUCGCAAAAAUGCUUGCACGGACUGUCAUUGAGGUCGGGUGGAAACGACAAUACAUCCGAUUGCGAAUGAAAGCCGUUGCUACUUUGUUGGAAAAUAGCCGGGAACGGAGGCGGCGGUAUGUGAAGUAUAUCCGGCGGCGGUUCGAGUAUGCACAGUGCGCAACCCGAAUUAUUCAUUAUGAGCUCCAAUUCUCUCAUCUGUAGAUCGUGUUUGAAAAAUCAAAGGAUUAUUGAUCGGCGAGUACGUACAUCUCGAAUUCGACGUAUAUUCGAUCCGGCGAGCAUCGAGUUGCUGCGGUUCUCCUCUCGCACGAACUGUCAUCUAUUAUUAAUUCGCGAGUCCCGCAAUUAAUUGUUGAAACUUCUUAUUUACCGCUUCUUAUUUACAAGCGAUUUACAAGCAUAUUAAUCAUCGAGCUACGUAAAACGGUUUCACGCGCGAUAACAAUAAUAAUCGACGGCUUUCUCGAUGCUCGACCGAACGAAAUUCGAACAGAGUUCUGUUGCAAUUUUAAUGUGUCCUCGGGAUUGUUUUGCGAACGGGUCCUCCGGGAAGGAACGACAGAGUAAACGGCCCUCGACAAUUCGAUCGACCGGGUUUAGCACGAUCGGAUAGCAUAUACAUAAAUAUGUUGCACAGAGACGAAGGACACGGAUAAAUAAUAAACUUUGAUACUUAUGACAGUAACCGGCGAACUCCAAUUCGUGUAUCCUCUAUUUCUUUCCCGAUGCGAAUGGCACUUCAAUUGAACAUUUCCCAUCACAGGAUAUUUCGGCCGGGCUCAUAGUAAAACAAAACUUUACUGCAUUCUAGACUGGAAUUUGUCUGCGCGUAGCAUAUAACUAUAAUAGCGAAAAGUAAACUUCGUGCUGUCGAGCUGUACCCCGAGAGGUAGCAGUAGUAUUGGGGUGGCGGCCACUGACUUCUACCGGAGAAAAGCGCACGCGUUGCGAUAUUGAACGGCGCGGCGACGGCGACGCGCGAACGACACGCGCGACGGUCAACAUUUCGCGGCUACUGUGCUGGAAUUCGGGUCCACGGAUUUCCAUUUGCAACGACGCGGUCUGGCAGAUAUUAAUGAAAUCUAGUUGGUAGUUUUUAUAAAAAAAAUUUUAAUGGGAUCAACGUUCAUCGAAGUCAAGGGGAAGGUAACCACCGCCACCCUUGGUUACCUGUUCGGCUCAGCGCCAUGCCUCAGUUGCAGCCAUGCAGCCAGUUGCCGCGCGAUCACCGGAGGGAACAGUCGAGUUCCAGGGGUUCCUCUUCCAUAAGUGGCCACCACUUGGAAUGAGUGAGAGUGUGGCAGCGAGGUACUUCCCAGUCACGCUGUCCCUCAUUCCAAGAGGGUGCCUCGAAGGCCUGGUUCUGGAGGUCUACCCAAAUGCAACGUUAUGCUGUGUGACGGAAAAUGCGAGAAAACAAGCCUACGUUCGAUGGACAUUCGGAGGAACGGGCCUACGUUUGACGGAGAGCACGAAGGAACAGUUUACUGUGCUUUUUCCAUCAACCCUGGAAUUUUAAGAGGCCUUGGAGUAAGGAUGAUCAAACGUCGAGGAAGAAAGACACCGUUUACAGUAAAUUCUCUCCAAUUGUCCCUCAGAUGGAUCAUGAAAAUCGGUACUGGGACCUGUAAGGUGAAUAUUUAACGUUUGACAACCUUCAUUAUGAUAGUUAGUCUCUAUUAGUUAGUGUUAACAUGUACACACAGAAGUUGCCACAAGAAAAAGUACAUAUUUCGAUGAUCGUACACAAAGCACACAACAUACCAAAUGUCAAAUGUUAUCUGCAUACCUGCAAUGGCUUUACGGUCGUCAUGUUGGACCUCAUCGCCACUGUUUAUUGGUCUUUCGUCGAUGCUGCGCAAAAACCGAGCGGUGGUGGAAGGGUAACUCUGCUUCGAAUUGUUCAUAUAUUUCUCACGCAUGGCCAGUGCUCGCACCAAUAGUUGCGACGCCUGCUCGAGAUCUUCCAAAGGUACCUGAAAUGUAUACAUAUACAUAUAUAUACAUUGGUAACUACAAAUAUUCUUGCAUAUUAUUACAGUACAUGGUCAUCGAGUUUUUGACAUUCAUAAAUAACAUAAUUUUCAUUAGAAUGACAAAAACCUAAUAAAAGAGACUCUACAAUAUUUUCUCCCUUAAUUGGACACUAAGAAAAGCCCCCGUAAACUAUUGGCGACACGAACGCGGUUGCCAGAAGAUAAUGACACACUCUAUCUGGCGAGGAUCGCCCCGGCUUGUCGCCGUUCACUCACUCCUUAAAGCUGGCAUUAUUUUUUGGCAACGUCUGGAUAAAAGUUGCUCGGUUGCAGAGCAAGCUGGGUGGAUUUUGGUUUCCUGUAAUUUUUCAAAUGGAACGCUAUACGUAGCUUUCUGUAAAAUGUAACGACUAGACCACCGUAAUUUUUCUGCACAAUCUGAGCGUCGAUUAGGGAGAAUUUACUGUACAUACAAAGCCGCAGCAAAGGUCACAGCUGUAAGCAAGAGUGACAGUGUCCGAAAGGUUAAAGAGCUUCCGAUAAAAUGAUGAAACUUGGAAGUGGUAACGGAAGAGGCUGAUAGCUCUGUUAACUAAGGUUUCCUACGUAAACCAGCAUUCUUGGGGUUUCUGCUCAUAGAAACUUUGAGAAGGCAAGAUCUGGUUUACCACGUAACAUACAUUACGUGUAGUAUAAUCAGGCUCGCAUGCAUACUAUACGCGUGGCGUCGUCUACUAAAUAUACGAAUGAAGAAGAGUUGAGAAACGCGAAAGCUCAAUCGUUCCGGAUGAAUUUGACGAAUUACAAGAUACGAGGAAAACGCUAACUGGUCAAAACGGAAAUCGAAGAUCGUACGUACGCCGGAAGUGUCGCCCCCGUGUAUCGAGACUCUUUGAAAGUGCGGCCUAAAGUAGUCAUCUUCGAGGUUGAAACUGUGGUCGACGUCGUCCGGAAUGUCGGGUCCCAGCGAAGGUUCAUAGUGGCUACGACGUUCCUCUAGGUCUUUGGCGGCUCUGGAAAAAGUAGAGGAGAAAAAUAUGGUUCUUCUCGCUUCGGCAAAGCAAACGGGAAUUGAACGCAAUGCGAUCAACGGUGUUAAUCGAAUUAAGAAGAGGGGACACACGAUGGGAUAGAAUAAUUCCUUUUUGGUGUGUUUUCUCAACGGUGGAAAGUCGACCGUGUGAUGUAAUUAUUCGUGGCUGGUUCGGUCCUCUUGCCAACCGAUCGAUCAGAAGAGUAAACGCAAUUACCGCGAGUAGGGCGGGAUAGAUCGGCGGCGAAUAUGACA